UACGGGGGGGGCAAGCGUUGUUCGGAAUUACUGGGCGUAAAGGGCGCGUAGGCGGUGCUCUAAGUCGGAUGUGAAAACUCUGGGCUCAACCCAGAGCCUGCAUCCGAAACUGGAGUGCUAGAGUUCUGGAGGGGGUAGCGGAAUUCCCGGUGUAGCGGUGAAAUGCGCAGAUAUCGGGAGGAACACCAGUAGCGAAGGCGGCUCGCUGGGCCAUUCCUGACGCUGAGACGCGAAAGCUAGGGGAGCGAACAGG
rnacentral:rRNA from 1 species